rnacentral:miRNA from 1 species
UUUGCGCUCGAUACCUGACCAC